AUUGAACGCUGGCGGCAUGCUUUACACAUGCAAGUCGAACGGCAGCGCGGGCUUCGGCCUGGCGGCGAGUGGCGAACGGGUGAGUAAUGCAUCGGAACGUGCCCAGUAGUGGGGGAUAGCCCGGCGAAAGCCGGAUUAAUACCGCAUACGACCUGAGGGUGAAAGCGGGGGACCGAAAGGCCUCGCGCUAUUGGAGCGGCCGAUGUCGGAUUAGCUAGUUGGUGGGGUAAAGGCUUACCAAGGCGACGAUCCGUAGCUGGUCUGAGAGGACGACCAGCCACACUGGGACUGAGACACGGCCCAGACUCCUACGGGGGGCAGCAGUGGGGAAUUUUGGACAAUGGGGGCAACCCUGAUCCAGCCAUGCCGCGUGCGGGAAGAAGGCCUUCGGGUUGUAAACCGCUUUUGUUCGGGAAGAAAUCCUCUGGGCUAAUACCCCGGGGGGAUGACGGUACCGGAAGAAUAAGCACCGGCUAACUACGUG
rnacentral:rRNA from 1 species